ACCGCAAAACCCAAAGACCCACUUAGGUGUCCCCUCUCUCCGCAGAAGAGAGAGCUUUUCCCUUUCUCUCUGUUAAACCUCUUCUCUUAAACUCACUUCUUGCGUGUCCUCGUCCUCGAUUUCCUUGGCGUAAGACGACGAACCUCAGGCAUUUACCCCAGACAACGAAGGUGCUUCAUAAGGUCAUGCAGCUGGGUCAACAUAGGACUGUGUAGCCAAGAGCUACAGGAUGGAUUGCUGAGGCCAGGGAGAUUGAAAGGAAGUCACAGCCCAAUCUCAGAGGGAUCCACGGAGCCAGCGAAAGCUAAGGCGGGACUUACCCAACAGAGGGUCCUGGCCCAGUCACCCAGUGGCACAACCCAACUGGGAGAUCUGAGCAUCUACCAACUGUGGCCACCAGUGAGAUGGUGUCAUUGUCUGGGGUAAAUACCGGGGGUUUGUUGUCUCAUGCCAAGGAAAUCGAGUUUGCGGACACAAGAAUUGGGUUUAGGAGCAGAGGUUUAAUAGGCAAAAGAAAGAGAAAGGGUAACAGUAGGAGAGAGAGGAGUGCGCCAGUGGGACUUCUGACCCACGAUGGAGUGCAUUGGAUUUUAUAGACAGGCUUGAGGAGGCAGUGUCUGAUUGACACAGGGCCCACAGAUUGGUUGGACCAGGUGUGAGUUUUACAUAGCGUGUGGGGAAGCUGGCCACGCCACCCUAAUCUUAUUAUGCAAAUAGGCUUUCCACUUGGCCGGCACCAUGUUGUCUGCUGCCUAAUGCACAUGUGGUUGGAAAGGGAAAGGGAAGAUGCAGCUGCCAUUUUGAACAUGCCUAGUCCCAGGUAGCCUUUUCCUAUUGACACAGCUGCCGCAUUCACCCGUGCAAGCUUCUGUGUCUGCAGCUCAAUUUUACAGGCUGCUGUUUGUUAGAAAAGAAAUGAUUCAGGGGCUGCUUUUCAUUAAAAGGAAACCUUACUGAGGACUUCCUUACCCUCACUGUCUGCCUAAAUAAUUUCUUCUUUACUCCUAUAUCACCGGCAUCAGAGGCCAGCAGAAGUCUCAGUGAUCGGGCAGGACAAAGGACAUUUCUGCAGAGAAUACUGAAGGUCCAGGAGACAGCACAGUGGGACAUAUGUGGGCCCCUGCCCCAUCAUUAGGAGGAAGUGUAGGCUUUUCUGAGGACCUGGAUGCCAUACCAUCUUGAGACAGAGAAUGAGGAACCAACCCUUGACAAGAGAGAGAUGGCCCUGGUAGAGAAUUUGAACCUUGAAUUGGAUUGAAUAUUUAUCCAAAAGAAAUUGAACCAGCACUAGAGAGACUGUUUUGAACUAGAAGUAACCAAGUUACCUUAACUGGAAGUUAGGAUUUUUCCACCCCUGACAUCAGUGGGACAAGGGCACAUGAGCAAGAUAUUUACGGACAAAGAAGAACGUUCAUGUUUUGUACACCUGCUUUGUAGUAUGUUGCAGAUACCGUUGGUUCCCCUGAUUUCAGGUGUUCUCGUUCUUUCUGUACAGUCACUUGCUCAGGGCAAAUGGUCCUCUCCUGCAUGACUCAGAAGCACAUACUGAUUAUUCUAAACUGGUCUUCAUGCCCCGUUCCCUUGUCAGUGAUGUAGUUAGGCAAAGGAUUAUGUAACAAUUCUGGCUAUGAGACAUUGAAACUUCUACUGUGGGGCAUCUGGGAAGAUUUUUCUCAUUGAAAAGAAGAGACGCAGGGUGUGGAGACUCAUGCCUGUAAUCCGAGCCCUUGGGAGGCCCAGGAGGGAGGGUCACCUGAGUCCAAGAGCUCAAGGCCAGUUCGAGCAACAUACCAAGGCUGCAAUAAACAAGCAAACAAACAAACAAACAUUAGCUGGGCACGGUAGUGCACACCUGUAGUCCCAGCUACUCAGGAGGCUGAAAUGGGAGGAUUGCUUGAGCCCAGGAGUUUGAGGCUGCAGUGAGCUAUGAUUGCACCACUGCACUUCAGCCUGGGCAACAGAGCGAGAUCCUGUCUCUAUAAAAAAAUUUUAAAAAAAGGAAGAAAAGAAAAGAAGAGACACACGUGGAAGAAACAGUCUCUAUUCUGAUGCAAGUAAUGACUGGAACUGUGGCAGACAGCUUGGAACCAUGAGAGGAGUUAACUGAGGGCUAUCAGGGAAACUAGAAGAAGCCUGGGUCCUUGAGGAGGCAGACUACUAAAUGGACCAUCGUCCCUUCACCCUUUUUGUUAUGUGAGAUAAUAAACUCUCUAAUUUAAAUCUACUUGAGAUGAAUAUCUGAUACUUGUAGCCAAAAUCAUCCUUAAUGGGACAGAGUGUGGGUAAAUUAUCAACCUUGCUAGCCUUGCCUCAUAAUUUUUGAAUUUAUUUUUAUCUUUUAAUUUUGUUUAUUUUUUAUUUUUAAAGUAGAGACAGGAUCUCAUUAUGUUGCUCAGGCUGGUCUCGAAUCCCUGGCCUCAAGGGAUCCUCCUGCCUCAGCCUCCUAAAGUGCUGAGAUUACAGGUAUGAGCCCCUAUGCCAGGCCAUUGCUUUGCCAUUGUAUCCAUGUGAUUGCAAAAAAGAAAAUCGUGCUAAUAGUCAUUAGCUUUGAAAGACACUUGGAAUUUCUUCCUUCAAGCGAGCUUUAUUCCCAAACUGUUGAACCCUCUGGGUUUGACAGCAGGAUCUACUUCACAUGGUAGCAUCUCCUUCUAUUUGCCUUCAAGACAUUUCCUAAGGGAAGAGAUGAAGACACACUUGUAACGUGAACAAAAUAAUCCUUUUUCCUUUUAAAAAUGUAUGAUUAAAAUGUAAAAUAUAUAUAUAUAUUCUUAAAUGUAAAAUAUAUAUAUAUAUCUUCUAGAGUUGCCUGGAAAGUGAGCUGAGAGCAGUUAAACAUCAAACCCACUGCUGCUUUCCAGCUUUAACCAGAAUCACCAUUGUCUUUCCCUAUGAAAGAAAGGAAAUCUUAGAACUUAAAAGGAUUUCAAGAAGAACUGAAUUUUAACCACUGAGAUGACCAGAGAUGUAAGGCUCACACUGACUGAAGCAGUAUAAUUUGGCUGUCUUUUUAACAUUCAGAAUUCUCUCUGACUCUCCAAAAUUGCAUCUACUUUGAUGAGCUUAUUUUUUUCCUCAACCAAAUUACAUUUCUUGGAGUUCACCUGAUACAUCAUGCCUACUUACUUUUUUUUUUAGAUGGAGUCUUGCUCUGUCACCCAGGCUGGAGUGCAGUGGUGCAAUCUCGGCUCAUUGCAACCUCUGCCUCCCAGGUUCAAGUGAUUCUCCUGCCUCAGCCCCCCAAGUAGCUGGGAUUACAGGUGCGUGCCACCACGCCCAGCUAAUUUUUGUAUUUUUAGUAGAGACAGGGUUUCGCCAUGUUGGUCAGGCUGGUCUCGAACUCCUGACCUCAAGUGACCCACCUGCCUUGGCCUCCCAAAGCGCUGGGAUUACAGGGGUAAGCCACCAUGUCCAGCCCUGCCUACUUACUUUGAACAAAUUAUUUCAGGCUAAUUUACUAGCUGGAGAGAAAGAGGGAGGGAAGCAGGGAGGAAGCAAAGAUAGAGGGAGAGAAAGAGAGGGAGACAGAGAGGAAGAGGGAGAGGGAGAGGAGAGAGAGAGAAAGAAUGAAUUGUGUUCUCCCAAAAUUAGUAUGUUGAAGUCUUAAUAUCCCAGUACCUCAGACUAUGACUGUAUCUGUAGAUAGGGCUUUUGAAAAGGUGAUUAUGUUUAAAUGAGGCCAUUGGGGUGGGCCCUAAUCCAGUCCAACUGUUGUCAUUGUAAGAAGAAGAGAUUAGGACACAGAGAUACCAGGCAUGUGCGUGCCCAGACAGACAACUAUGUGAAGAGACAACAAUAGGUCAGCCAUCUGCAAGCUGAGGAGAGAGGCCUCAGAGGAAACCAACCCUGCCGGCACCUUGAUCUUGGAGUUCCAGCCUCCAGAACUGUGAGAAAAUGUAUUCCUGUUGUUGAAGCCAUUUCUGUUGUUCUGUGGCAUUUUGUUAUGGCAGCCCUAGCAAACUAAUAUGAUAAUUAACUCUUCCAAGUGCUGUUUCCAUUACAAAGUAUCCCAGAAUUUUAUAUUGGUGAAUCUGUGUUCCUCAGGCCAUGUCUUCCCUGUUGGAAAUGCUGUUAUUAUGUCCCAAGGUGACUUCAAGGAGUGGGUUAGAGGCUGAGACAGAGGGUGUGAGAUCGUCACUACUGUAACCUUGCUUUGUUCAGUAUGAACAUGCUCAGAUAUUCUCUGUUUUGUAUUGGGAGAUCGGGAAAGGAUUUAUUGAAAAAAUGUUUCCAUUAGCAAAUGAAGUUUGAAGGCAACUACCGUCUACAAGAGCAAACAAAUGCAUAAAAUUCAAAUAUUAUUUUGUCCCAACCUCAGUGUCAUGAGGGUCUCUUAUACAGAAUAGUAGAUGAGAAUAAAAUUUGAAUUGAUAAUACUGGAAUAGAGUAGUCAUUAUGCAAUGUAACAAACCUCAAAUAUUCAGUGGUUUAACACUAUAGAUGUUUAUUUACCACUCAUUCAAUGUAUGUGUUCCUUGUUAGCAGUAGUUUUCCUUGUAGUCAUUCAGGAAUCCAGGCAUAUUAGUUAUCUAUUUCUGUGUACCCCAUAAAAACCAUUUAUUAUUGCACACUUUCAGAGGGUCAGUAAUUUGGGAGUGGCUUAGCUGGGGUGUUCUGACCAGAGUCUCUCUUGAGGUUGUAGUCAAGAUGUUGGCUAGGGUUGCCAUCAUCUGAAAGCUUGACUGGGACUGUAUCCACUUUCAAGAUGGCGCACUUACUUGGCUGUUGGCAGGAAGCCUCAAUGACUUAUCAUGUGGUCUUCUCCACAGUGCUGCUUGAGCAUCCACACAACAUGGCGCUAGCUUCCCCCAGAGUGAGUAAUCCAGAAUGAAGAAGACAGAAACCACAAUAUCCUUUAUGAACUGGCCUUAUAAGUAAUAUUUUGUCAUUUCCAUAAAGUCCUAUUGGUUACACAAGACUGCCGUAUUCAAUAUAAGAGUGACAACACAUGGGGAUAAAUACUUGGAGGUGUAAAUCAUUGGGAACCAUCCUGGAAGUUGCCUACAAUACUAGGAUCUAUGGCUACAAUUCCCUGGGUCUUGGCUUCAAGACAGAGAAAAGGGAAAGAACAUGAAACAGCCCCAUGUGGUUUUUGUUUUUUUUUUAAUGGACAAGAGUAAGAAAUGGUGAACAUUUCUUCUACUCAUAUUCUACAGUUAGAAUUUGGUCACAUAAUGUAUCUAACUAUGAAGGUAGCUAGGUAAUAUCAUCUCUUGUUGGGAGGGUAGCUGGGAAUACCUCUAUACAAUGGAAGGAAGAGCAUGAACUUUUGGUGGAGAGAUAAUGCUCUCUGCCAUGAUAAAAUGAAAAAAAUAACAUAUGCAGAAUGGUCAACAUAACAGCAUGAAGCAAAUGCACAAUGAAUGAUAAUCAUAAUAUAGUGCUCUUUUGAUAAUCUAGUGCAUACCCAGAACCUGGGAGGUAUUUGGUUUUAAUACAUGUUUGUUGUAUGAAUACGUGAGUUAAGGUAAUGGAUGCAAAAAUGGUAUAAAUAGGAGGAAUUAUAAUUGAUAUUUCUUGAGUUAGCAUGUUUCAUUGGCUAUCUUUAUGGAGGUCCAGACCCUCCUCCGAAGGUGGAUAUUACUGUUCCGAUUUCAAUUGGUCAAAUAGAGACCAAGAGACUUUAGGCAACUUGUUUUAGAUUUGGCACUGAAUGGCGGGAAAGUGCAGAUUUUCUGAGUACUAUGUCUGGGCUCUUUGCUAUAAGCACUAUUGAUUUGAAUGGAUAAGAACAGAAAAGUCCUUUGCUCAGAGGAGAAUCAGGGCCACUGUAUCAGUCAGGGUCCAAUCAAGAGGCAGAAACUAUACCAGUUAUUUAAUUUCAUUUAUUUAUUUAUUAUUAUUUUUUAGAGAUGUGGUCUUGCUGUGUUGCUCAGGCUGUUCUCGAACUCCUGGGCUCAAGCAAUCCACCUGCCUUGACCUCCCAAACUGCUGGGAUUACAGGUGUGAGCCACUGUGCCUGGCCCCGUACCAGUUAUUUUAACAGAGAGAAUUUAGUAUGGCCCAGGCGCAGUGGUUCAAGCCUGUAAUCCCAGCACUUUGUGAGGCUGAGCAGGGAGGAUCACUUGGACCCAGGAGUUUGAGACCAGCCUGGGCAACAUAUUGAGAGUCCACUUAAGAAAAAGAAUUUAAUAUAAAGAACUUUUUUCUUUUCUUUUUUUUUUUUUUGAGAUAGAUGGAGUCUCACUCUGUUGCCCAGGCUGGAGUGCUGUGGCGUGAUCCCAGCUCACCGCAACAUACGCCUCCUGGAAUCAAGCACCUCUCCCGCCUCAGCCUCCGGAGCAGCUGGGAUUACAGGCACUCGCUAACACGCCUGGCUAAUUUUUGUAUUUUAGUAGAGGCAGGGUUUCACCAUGUUGACCAGGCUGGUCUCAAACUGCUGACCUCAAGUGAUCCCCUGUCCUCGGGCUCCCAAAGUGCUGGGAUUACAGGCAUGAGCCACCACGCCUGGCCGAGAAUUGUUAACUAGGAAUCAAGUUGAUAACCAGGCAACUAAAAAGGAAAAAAAAA
rnacentral:lncRNA from 1 species